rnacentral:rRNA from 1 species
AGAGUUUGAUCAUGGCUCAGAACGAACGCUGGCGGCGUGCUUAACACAUGCAAGUCGCGUGCGCAGUUUCCGUAGCAAUACGGGGAUGGGCGCACGGCGCACGGGUGCGUAACACGUGGGCAAUCUGCCCUCCGGUGGGGAAUAACCCCGCGAAAGCGGGGCUAAUACCGCAUAACAUUCCUUGAGCGAUGGUUCAAGGAUUCAAAGCAGUAAUGCGCCGGAGGAGGAGCCCGCGCCCGAUUAGCUAGUUGGCGAGGUAACGGCUCACCAAGGCAAUGAUCGGUAGCUGGUCUGAGAGGAUGAUCAGCCACACUGGAACUGAGACACGGUCCAGACUCCUACGGGAGGCAGCAGUGGGGAAUCUUGCACAAUGGGCGAAAGCCUGAUGCAGCGACGCCGCGUGGGGGAUGAAGCUUCUCGGAGUGUAAACCCCUUUCGCCUGGGACGAAUGCCUCGCAAGAGGAGUGACGGUACCAGGAUAAGAAGCCCCGGCUAACUACGUGCCAGCAGCCGCGGUAAGACGUAGGGGGCCAGCGUUGUUCGGAAUUACUGGGUGUAAAGGGUUCGUAGGCGGUGUGGCAAGUUGGGAGUGAAAUCUCUGGGCUCAACCCAGAGGCUGCUUCCAAAACUGCUGUGCUUGAGUGUGAGAGAGGCUCGUGGAAUUGCAGGUGUAGCGGUGAAAUGCGUAGAUAUCUGCAGGAACACCCGUGGCGAAAGCGGCGAGCUGGAUCACUACUGACGCUGAGGAACGAAAGCUAGGGGAGCAAACAGGAUUAGAUACCCUGGUAGUCCUAGCCCUAAACGAUCAGGACUUGGGGUGCCGCCCGUUCGGGCGUCGUCCCGGAGCUAACGCGUUAAGUCCUGCACCUGGGGAGUACGGUCGCAAGACUGAAACUCAAAGGAAUUGACGGGGGCCCGCACAAGCGGUGGAACAUGUGGUUCAUUUCGACGCUACGCGAGGAACCUUACCUGGGCUCGAAAUGCUUAGGACCAGCUGUAGAGUC